UACGUAGGGCGCAAGCGUUAUCCGGAAUUAUUGGGCGUAAAGAGCUCGUAGGCGGUUUGUCGCGUCUGCCGUGAAAGUCCGGGGCUCAACUCCGGAUCUGCGGUGGGUACGGGCAGACUAGAGUGAUGUAGGGGGAGACUGGAAUUCCUGGUGUAGCGGUGAAAUGCGCAGAUAUCAGGAGGAACACCGAUGGCGAAGGCAGGGUCUCUGGGCAUUAACUGACGCUGAGGAGCGAAAGCAUGGGGAGCGAACAGG
rnacentral:rRNA from 1 species